GACGAACGCUGGCGGCGUGCUUAACACAUGCAAGUCGAGCGGAAAGGCUCCUUCGGGGGUACCCGAGCGGCGAACGGGUGAGUAACACGUGAGUAAUCUGCCCUGUGCUCUGGGAUAGCCACCGGAAACGGUGAUUAAUACCGGAUAUGACCAGCUACUGCAUGGUGGUUGGUGGAAAGUUUUUCGGCACAGGAUGUGCUCGCGGCCUAUCAGCUUGUUGGUGAGGUAAUGGCUCACCAAGGCUUUGACGGGUAGCCGGCCUGAGAGGGUGACCGGUCACACUGGGACUGAGACACGGCCCAGACUCCUACGGGAGGCAGCAGUGGGGAAUAUUGGACAAUGGGCGGAAGCCUGAUCCAGCAACGCCGCGUGAGGGAUGACGGCAUUCGGGUUGUAAACCUCUUUAAGGACCGACGAAGCGAAAGUGACGGUAGGUACAGAAGAAGGACCGGCCAACUACGUGCCAGCAGCCGCCGUAAUAC
rnacentral:rRNA from 1 species